AGGAGUGUGUUUUUAAAUGCAGUGAUACCAAUGUUCCAGGCGAGCAAUGCGUUACAUAGAGACAUCGUAACUCAGAGUGAUUUAAGUUUGAGGAACAUUUCGUCAGUAAGAGCGGUUAUAAAAACAACGACACUUAACUCUUGAGAACAGUUGUUAACAUUGUUGAAGGAAUAAAAAAAUAACAGCGUCUAGCGCAAACUAUUGUCGAUAACUUUAAAGAAAUGUCGGAAAACAAGACGCGUGUCAAUGCCUCUGCAACUUCCGGUGCGAUACUUCCUGUCGCCGUCGCCACCUUGUUCCAGAGCGGAUGCUUCCUCGCCGCUGCGGUGUUGAAGAAGAAUGUGAAUUUCCUGCCCAAGGAUCCGCUGGUUCUUAUUGGGACGGUCUACGCGCUGGCCGCCACCGAUAUGUUCGCAUACAGUUGGUACAUAAGCAAGAACAACGACAAAGACAAUAAACAAUAAACGUGGAUUAAUAGAACAUUUUAAAGACUGAUCAUAUACAUAUGAUUACUUUUCAGUUUUAAAGUUUGAGUUUUUUUUCAAAACUUAAUAAAUAGAUUACAUGAA